CAGUAGCCGCGGUAAUACGUAGGUGGCAAGCGUUGUCCGGAAUUAUUGGGCGUAAAGGGCUCGCAGGCGGUUUCUUAAGUCUGAUGUGGAAGCCCCCGGCUCAACCGGGGAGGGUCAUUGGAAACUGGGAAACUUGAGUGCAGAAGAGGAGAGUGGAAUUCCACGUGUAGCGGUGAAAUGCGUAGAGAUGUGGAGGAACACCAGUGGCGAAGGCGACUCUCUGGUCUGUAACUGACGCUGAGGAGCGAAAGCGUGGGGAGCGAACAGGAUUAGAUACCCCCGUAGUCCCUGUCUCUUAUAC
rnacentral:rRNA from 1 species